GACGAACGCUGGCGGCGUGCUUAACACAUGCAAGUCGAACGGAAAGGCCCUGCUUUUGUGGGGUGCUCGAGUGGCGAACGGGUGAGUAACACGUGAGUAACCUGCCCUUGACUUUGGGAUAACUUCAGGAAACUGGGGCUAAUACCGGAUAGGAGCUCCUGCUGCAUGGUGGGGGUUGGAAAGUUUCGGCGGUUGGGGAUGGACUCGCGGCUUAUCAGCUUGUUGGUGGGGUAGUGGCUUACCAAGGCUUUGACGGGUAGCCGGCCUGAGAGGGUGACCGGCCAAAUUGGGACUGAGAUACGGCCCAGACUCCUACGGGAGGCAGCAGUGGGGAAUAUUGCACAAUGGGCGGAAGCCUGAUGCAGCAACGCCGCGUGCGGGAUGACGGCCUUCGGGUUGUAAACCGCUUUCGCCUGUGACGAAGCGUGAGUGACGGUAAUGGGUAAAGAAGCACCGGCUAACUGCGUG
rnacentral:rRNA from 1 species